rnacentral:rRNA from 1 species
UACGUAGGGGGCAAGCGUUAUCCGGAAUUACUGGGUGUAAAGGGUGCGUAGGCGGCCAUGCAAGUCAGAUGUGAAAACUCAGAGCUCAACUCUGAGGCUGCAUCUGAAACUUCGUGGCUAGAGUGUGGGAGAGGAAAGUGGAAUUCCGAGUGUAGCGGUGAAAUGCGUAGAGAUUCGGAGGAACACCAGUAGCGAAGGCGGCUUUCUGGACCAUAACUGACGCUGAGGCACGAAAGCGUGGGGAGCAAAC